CAGAGGGAGGGCCUAAAGGGGGACAGCAGGGCAGAGGGGUCCCCCUGGAGCCCCGCCGCCAUCAGAGAGCAAGCGUCUGGCAUCAGGGAUCUUCGCGCCCAGCAGAAGAACCAGCCACAGGGGAGGUGUUCUCUUGGGGAGACCAGCGCCAGCGCCACCUGUCCGGCACCAGGAGUGCCCCCCCACGCCGCUGGCACCCCCAGCAGGCCCCCGACCCCCUCAGCCGCCACCCUCUUCGCCUUCUCCCCUCCCACCUGCCUCCAUCUCUCUACUCGGCCCCCCCUUGCCUUCCCAGCGCCCCUGCUACCACCUAACCCUCAGAUCUGGCCACACUGACCCUCCAGCUGGGCAAUCUGCCAAUCUUCCUGGAGGGUGACUGUUGUUUGGGCUAUGCCCCCUGGUGGCAUGGCCGAUUCUGCCUAGAUCCCUGACCCCCACCCCCUCACUUCCCCAGCCCCCUCCUUCUUUGUGUGCUAAACCACUCCUCUGCUAAGUACUGGGGUUGGGGGCCAAAGGGAAAGCCCUCGGCCCCCACCACUUACUCCUGGCCUUCGGGCCUCUCCCCAAUCCCCUCGGCCCCUCCUCCUGGGCCGCCCCAAUGAAGGAGCCAGAUGCCAUCAAGCUGUUUGUGGGACAGAUCCCGCGGCAUCUGGACGAAAAGGACCUGAAGCCCAUCUUCGAACAGUUCGGCCGGAUCUUCGAGCUGACUGUCAUUAAGGACAAGUACACAGGGCUGCACAAGGGAUGUGCCUUCCUGACAUACUGUGCCCGCGAUUCAGCCCUGAAGGCCCAGAGUGCCCUGCACGAGCAGAAGACACUUCCAGGGAUGAACAGGCCAAUCCAGGUCAAGCCAGCCGACAGCGAGAGCCGAGGAGAAGACCGGAAGCUCUUCGUGGGGAUGCUCGGGAAGCAGCAGACAGAUGAGGACGUGCGGAAGAUGUUCGAGCCUUUCGGGACCAUAGAUGAGUGCACUGUGCUUCGGGGCCCCGAUGGCACCAGUAAAGGUUGCGCCUUCGUCAAGUUCCAGACCCACGCAGAGGCCCAGGCGGCCAUCCGCACCCUCCACAGCAGCCGCACCCUGCCGGGGGCCUCGUCCAGCCUGGUGGUCAAGUUUGCUGACACGGAGAAGGAGCGAGGUCUGAGGCGGAUGCAGCAGGUGGCCACACAGCUGGGCAUGUUUAGCCCCAUCGCCCUCCACUUCGGAGCCUACAGCGCCUACACCCAGGCUCUGAUGCAGCAGCAGGCGGCCCUGGUCGCAGCCCACAGUGCCUACCUCAGCCCCAUGGCAGCCAUGGCCGCCGUGCAGAUGCAGCACAUGGCUGCCAUCAAUGCCAAUGGCCUCAUUGCCACCCCCAUCACCCCAUCCUCAGGAACCAGCACCCCUCCUGCCAUCGCCGCCACGCCUGUCUCUGCCAUUCCCGCUGCCCUGGGCGUCAACGGCUACAGCCCGGUGCCCGCCCAGCCCGCUGGGCAGCCCGCCCCUGACGCUCUGUACCCCAACGGGGUUCACCCCUACCCAGCCCAGAGCCCCGCCGCCCCCAUGGACCCCCUGCAGCAGGCCUACGCGGGCGUGCAGCACUACACAGCGGCCUACCCGGCCUACAGUCUAGUGGCGCCUGCCUUCCCACAGCCGCCAGCCCUGGUGGCCCACCAGCCUCCACCCCCCGCCCAGCAGCAGCAGCAGCAGCAGCAGCGGGAAGGCCCUGAUGGCUGCAACAUCUUCAUCUACCACCUGCCCCAGGAGUUCACGGACUCCGAGAUCCUACAGAUGUUCGUUCCGUUCGGCCAUGUCAUCUCAGCCAAAGUCUUUGUGGAUCGGGCCACCAAUCAGAGCAAGUGUUUUGGCUUCGUGAGUUUCGACAAUCCGGCCAGUGCCCAGGCUGCUAUCCAGGCCAUGAACGGUUUCCAGAUUGGCAUGAAACGCCUCAAAGUUCAGCUAAAACGACCGAAGGAUGCCAACAGACCCUACUGAGGGCCUCCAGCCCAGGGCCCGUGUCCAUUGUCGGCCGAAGCCCCCAUCCCCGGACCCCUGCUCCGGGCCCCUGUGUGGAGAUACCAGAGAACGGGGCGCCUCACCCUGCUCCCUGCGGCUGGCCCCGGCCUCUCUGCACAUCUGCCCUGGGCCUUGCUGGGGCUCCGGGGCCAAAGCUGCUCGCAGCCCUGGGGGCAUGGACACCGGCCACGCCACCACUUGAAACGGCCCGUUUCCUCCCAGGCGACUUUUGGCCUGCGUGAGGGAGCAGGAAGGGGCUUGGAGGCACGGGGUGCUGCCUUCUGCAGGCUCUGGGCGGAGGGGGGGAUGUCUUGGUGCCCAGCACCUGCCCCUGCGCAGCCCCAUCCCUACAGGGAGUGAUUCUGCCUGUGGACGCCUCCCCCAAACUCCCACCAGCCUCUUCCCUCGCUGAAGCUUCUCAGAAGCUGGCCCAGCUCCCUGCACCCUCAGCUAGAGGGAUUUUCCCCGAACCCUGAACACUCACUGCCUCCCGCAAGGGCCCCCCUCUGCUGAGGGUGUAGGGGAGCCGAGGGCUGCCUCCAGAGA